rnacentral:rRNA from 1 species
UCCAGACUCCUACGGGAGGCAGCAGUGGGGAAUAUUGCACAAUGGGGGGAACCCUGAUGCAGCGACGCCGCGUGAGUGAAGAAGUAUUUCGGUAUGUAAAGCUCUAUCAGCAGGGAAGAAGAUGACGGUACCUGACUAAGAAGCCCCGGCUAACUACGUGCCAGCAGCCGCGGUAAUACGUAGGGGGCAAGCGUUAUCCGGAUUUACUGGGUGUAAAGGGAGCGUAGACGGUUAUGCAAGUCUGAAGUGAAAGCCCAAGGCUCAACCAUGGGACUGCUUUGGAAACUGUAAAACUGGAGUGCAGGAGAGGUAAGCGGAAUUCCUAGUGUAGCGGUGAAAUGCGUAGAUAUUAGGAGGAACACCAGUGGCGAAGGCGGCCUGCUGGACUGCAACUGACGUUGAGGCCCGAAAGCGUGGGGAGCAAACAGGAUUAGAUACCCGAGUAU